rnacentral:pre_miRNA from 1 species
UAGCUCUUGCUGGAGAAGCAGGGCACGUGCAAGCUCUCUCCUCAGGCUUUCCUUGCACGUGCUCCCCUUCUCCAACAUGGGU